ACCAGGAUGGCCGAGUGGUUAAGGUGUUGGACUUAAAAUCCAAUGGAUGCAUGUCUGCGUGGGUUCAAACCCCACUUCUGGUA